UUCAGAGCUGUCAAUCAUAAGAGGCAGUUAGAGAGUGACAGAAAUUGGAAGUGGAGUUCAGUUAGAAUGGGGGUCUGGGUACGAACAGUCUCAAAGAGGAGUUCUGAGACUCAAAGAAUAAGACAGUCAAAAAAGAAAUAAAGGAGGCAGUUAUUAGAACAGUCUGUAAUACAGACUGGGUUGUGAAGUAACUGGGUGAACAGCUCUUCUGGUCAUCACUCUGAAUGCUGUGCCACCUAGCGGUCACUGCCCAGGGCUCAGCCUUGACAGCCUCCACCACAGUCCUAGUCUAGAUUUCAGAUAGCACCCUUUCAGCUGCUAUUUCCCCCAUGAAAAAGACUGGCAUUGGCACCCAUGAGAAUUGGAGAGGAGAGCUGGUCUUGUGGUAGCAAGCAUGACUUGUCCCCUUAGCUAAGCAGGGUCCACCCUGGUUGCAUAUGAAUGGGAGACUUGGUGUGUGAGCACUGUAAGAUAUUCCUCUCAGGGGAUGGAGCCACUCUGGGAAGAGCAGAAGGUUCCAAGUUCCCUCCCUGGCUUCUCCAAGAUAGGGCUGAGAGAGAUUGCUGCCUGCAACCUUGGAGAAGCCGCUGCCAAUCUGUGUAGACAAUACUGAGCUCGAUGGACCAGUGGUCUGAGUCAGUAUAUGGCAGCUUCUUAUGUUCCUGUGUAACUGCUUUCCUUGGACAAAUGCUAGAGGAGCCCAGUCUGGAUCAGGACCAUGAGAGAGGCAGAUGUUUAAAUUUCCUGCCUCCCCAUGCCACAAUCCCAAUCCAGAUUGCUCCCUCUGUGGCUGCUAUUUAUGCUGUUAACGAAGAAGCAUGGAAGCACAAAUCACACUUUUCUUGUGUGUACUUAGGAACAUAGGACGCUGCCAUAUACUGAGUAGGGGUGUGCAUUUUGGAAUUUUCUUGUUUUGAUUUGUAUCCAAAUCGAAACAUCCCCUUUUUGUUUUGUACCCAAAUUUUCUGAAUCCGAAUCAGCCCUGUUUUGUUUUGUAGCCAAAUUUUCCGAAUCUGAAUCGAUUUGGAUUUUUAAAAAGGGUCUCAGGGCAAAAAGAGUGGGUGGUGGUGGUAGUGUCCAAUGGGUAGAAGCUACCACCCAAAUUUCAAAGGAAUUAGGCAAAGGGCUGAUUUUUUGUGUGAAAUUUUUUUAAGUUUACAUAUCUUUAAGAAUUUUCCCAUAGGGAAUAAUGGGGAUUCCAGCAAAUGUAUCACUUCAAAUCAAGGGGAAAGGGAUGGCCCAGAGCAGAGUGUGGUGGGUGGUAGUGCCCAAUGGGGGCAAGGAAACUUCCAGAAUUAUUUCAAAGGAAUUGGGCAAAGGGCUGAUCUUUUGUGAUUUGUUGAAGUUUACGUGUCUUUAAGAUUUCUCUCAUGGGGAAUAAUUGAGGUUUCAGCAGCCCCAUAUUUCCACUUAGGGGGGCUGGGGUUGCCCAGAGCGAGGGGUUGUGUAGUGCACAUAAGGUGCCAACCACCCCCACACCCACAAGCCUGUGGGGUACUGGGUUUUGUUGUUUCUGAGGUGUUCAUUGUAGAUUCUCUGGUAGCAUAUGAGAUUUUCAGUGAAAAACAAGAAUCCACUCUCAUAUGCUACCAGAGAAUCUACACUCAGAACACCACAGAAACAGCAGAACCCAGCACCCCAUGGGUUAGCAACCCUUCCCCUGGCCAAUGUGGGGUCAGUAAAGAGUGGCAAGAAGCAAAAGAGCCAAUGGGUAACAAGGAGGGAAUUGUCAGCAGGUCAGCCCAUGAUUUAGGUCACUGAUCAGAAGGCUGGAAGGGUGGGAAAUUCAAAGAGAUGUCAAACACAAAAUGGAGACUGACUCAGAGAUCACCACAAAAUGGAGGUCCGAAACAACAAAAUGUUUUGUAGCCGAAACAGGGACGUUUUGUUUUGUAUACAAAACUUUUGGAUCUGGAAAAUGGGUGUUUUGUUUUGUCUACAAAACACCCGAAACAGGCUGUUUUGGGUACAAAGCGUUUUGUAUCCAAAAUGUUUCGCACAUUCCUAAUACUGAGUCAGACUCAUGGAGAGGGCAGCAUUCCGGCAGACUCAUGUAUGGGAGUUGGUUCUUAAUUUGCCGUCAUGGACAGGCUAUAACCAUGCUGCAUAUACUGAAUGCAUCCAGAAGGCAGUGCAUGCAGGUGUUGGGUUCUUUAAAUAGCAGACAUAUAAUUAAAACAGUUGUAGACAUCAUCAUCAUUUAUUAUUUCUAGAAGUGCCAAAAAUAUAGGAGGCUGCAUAGGAAUCAAAUGCACCAGUAGGCUAACCAUUUAGCUCGGCUUGCGUGGUGACUUGUACUCUUUUUAAGGCCCUGAAGACACAAGUCUGCAGUUUGCUGUGGAUUAAUUGACUGUGAAAUUACAGUUUAAACAGCAAAACCUCUUUAAUGUAUUAGGACUGUGAAAAAGUAGCCAAAUAAAUAGAAUUUCCUUGCUUUGAAAACAGAAAGAGGUGUUCAACUUCCAUUCUAAAUUUGGAUUUAACAGUUUCAGACUAACAAACCUGCAAGUCAAGUCUGAGGUAUCCAACCCUGGUGUAAACUGCUUCUGUUAUGAACAACUUUCAAAUAACCAAAAUAGCUUAUAUCAUUUAUAUGAACUAUAUCAUCAAAUGAUUUUCUUUCAAACUGGCUACUAGACUGGCUCGUUUCAGUUCAAAAGUGGAAAGGAUGUAAUUAUCUUUAAAAGUGCAGCAACUACUUAAGCAGAGCCAUGACCAUUCACUAAUUUCUUCUGACUGUUUUCAUUUUAGCAUUCAUUGCAGUGGAAAAGAAAAACGAUUAAUGUGACUGUGCUUUGGAGGAUCUAUUUGAAUGUGUAUUUCAAAUACUCGGAUGUUUAAAAAGGAGGAUACAUAUUGCAACAAAAGGAUAAACUUUAGAUCUUGAGGAGGGCUUGAGGGUCCUGGGCAGUCCAGAUGCAAGCACAGGACUAAUGCUGACCCACUUCAGAGGGAUCUCAACAUCAGUGGAAGUUCUAGAGAAGAGCAAGGGACAAGUCAGCAAGAACUCUGGCACAGUGGAAAGGCUGGAUUCUGUGAAGGCUGCUUUUCAUGUUACUUUUGAAACACAAUUAAAUGGAGCUUCUGCCCACAUUGAAGCACUGCUUGUGGAUCUGCAUGUAGUCAAAUAAAAGUGAUUCUUGUAAAGCAAGUUGGGACUCACGAGCUGGCGGGCAGGACACCCACACACUAUGCAAAUGACUAUCAAACAUAUACGAAAAGACAUACAGAGGUGAAAGCCCGAAAGCAUAGCAAACAGAGCAUAGCCAACAGGGAUAGCAAAAAGGGCACAGAGUUUUGCAGGAGUUUAGUGGGAAGUGUGCAGGGGAGCCUGGAACAAGUCCAUGUGAUCACAAGGAGCCCAGUGGAGAAGAGAAGCAACCCACAAGAAAUACUUCCUCGGCAAAGCCUCCCAGGAUAGAAAGCCAAUUGCUAGAAGGUCCUGCAUCUUGGCAUCUUGAAAAUAGCACUCUAGGAAUAGGAUAUUUCUCCAGAACAAACUGGCUGAAAGGAGCUGAGCGGGGCUUAAACAAGAAAGGAAAUGACUCACUUCGAUUAAAGAGGCCCAGACAUGAGGAGCUUGUUUGCAUGCUAAAAGCAUUUAUCUCUAAUUUUGUCAUUACAAUGUUGACUCUACAUUUCAAGAAACAUAACAAUCAUGCAUUGCCAUUUUUAGCUAGUAUACAUGUUCCUAUGCUGAUUUUUUCCCCUGUGCUAUUAAAAUGUUUACAGAUAAUUUGAAAACAAAAUUAGCAUUAUAAUGUUUGUUUGCUUUUGCACCCAGAUGACUGUGUUUGAAAAAGUAUCCUACACAUUACCAAAGACAAAUUAUUUAAUUCUUCUAUUCUCUCUCUCUCUCUCUCUCUCUCUCUCUCUCUCUCUGUGGUGGGCAGAGAAUUGUAUAUUUUCCAUCAUUGUAGAUUCUGUGUGCUGGCCUAAAAUGUUUUUCAAGAUAAUUUGCUUUUGCACUCAUCACCCUCAUAACAGCACCCCUUUAAAAUGAUCAUAUCAGAACUAGGAAGAGAGAAUCCCAAGAUAUUAAA